rnacentral:rRNA from 1 species
GACAAUGGGCAAGCCUAGUCCAGCCAUACCGCGUGGGUGAAGAAGGCUUCGGGUUGUAAAGCCCUUUUGAUGGGAAAGAAAUCCAGUCUGGCUAAUACCCGGUUGGUAUGACGUACCCAAAGAAUAAGCACCGGCUAACUCGUGCCAGCAGCCGCGGUAAUACGAGAGGGGUGCAAGCGUUACUCGGAAUUACUGGGCGUAAAAGCGUCGCGUAGGUCGGUCGUUUAAAGUCCAGUAUGUGAAAGCCCUAGGGCUCAACCUGGGAAACUGCAGUGUGAUACUGGGCUGACUAUGAGUGAUGGGUGAGAGGGUAGGCUGGAAUUCCUGGGUGUAGCAGUGAAAUGCGUAGAGUAUCAGGAGGAACAUCCAGUGGCGAAGGCGGCUACCUGGACCAACUACUGACACUGAGGCACGAAAGCGUGGGGAGCAAACAGGAUUAGAUACCCUGGUAGUCCACGCCGUAAACGAUGCGAACUAGAUGUUGGGUGYAWUUWGGCAYGCAGUAGUCGAAGUAACGCGUUAAGUUCACC